rnacentral:rRNA from 1 species
UAUGGGAAGCCGUGAUGCGGAGUGAAAUAAAGUAACGAAGUCCGUGAGCCAUGCGUCAAGAAAAGCCGCUAUUGUUUAUACCGUACCCGUACCGUAAACCGACACAGGUGGAUGAGGAGAGAAUCCUAAGGCCGGCGGAAGAAGCAUUGUCAAGGAACUCGGCAAAAUGGCCCCGUAACUUAGGGAUAAGGGGUGCCUGGGAAACCAGGCCGCAGAGAAUAGGCUCAAGCAACUGUUUAGCAAAAACACAGGUCUAUGCGAAACCGAAAGGUGAGGUAUAUGGGCUGACGCCUGCCCGGUGCUGGAAGGUUAAGAGGAGAGGUUAGCGCAAGCGAAGCUUUGAAUUUAAGCCCCAGUAAACGGCGGCCGUAACAAUAACGGUCCUAAGGUAGCGAAAUUCCUUGUCGGGUAAGUUCCGACCCGCACGAAAGGCGUAAUGAUUUGAGCGCUGUCUCGACAAUGCAUCCGGUGAAAUUGAAGUACCAGUGAAGAUGCUGGUUACCUGCGCCAGGACGGAAAGACCCCAUGGAGCUUUACUCCAGUUUGGUACUGGGACUCGGUAUUGCAUGUACAGGAUAGGUGGGAGGCUGAGAGACAGUAACGCCAGUUAUUGUGGAGCCGCUGUUGGGAUACCACCCUUGCAGUAUUGGGUUUCUAACCAGCCGCCGUGACCCGGCGGUGGGACAAUGCCAGACGGGGAGUUUGACUGGGGCGGUCGCCUCCGAAAGGGUAUCGGAGGCGCCCAAAGGUUCCCUCAGAAUGGACGGAAACCAUUCGAAGAGUGCAAAGGCAGAAGGGAGCUUGACUGCGACACCGACGGGUGGAGCAAGUACGAAAGUAGGGCUUAGUGAUCCGGUGGUAUUAAGUGGGAAUGCCAUCGCUCAACGGAUAAAAGCUACCCUGGGAUAACAGGCUUAUCACUCCCAAGAGUUCACAUCGACGGAGUGGUUUGGCACCUCGAUGUCGGCUCAUCGCAUCCUGGGGCUGUAGUAGGUCCCAAGGGUUGGGCUGUUCGCCCAUUAAAGCGGUACGCGAGCUGGGUUCAGAACGUCGUGAGACAGUUCGGUCCCUAUCCGGCGUGGGCGUAGGAUAUCUGAGAGGAGCUGUCCUUAGUACGAGAGGACCGGGAUGGACGGGCCGCUGGUGCAUCGGUUAGACUGCCAAGUCUACGGCCGAGUAGCCGAGCCCGGAAGGGAUAAACGCUGAAGGCAUCUAAGCGUGAAGCCCCCCUUAAGAUGAGAUAUCCCAUUCGAAAGAAGUAAACCCCCUUGAAGACGACGAGGUAGAUAGGGCAGAGGUGGAAGUGUGGCAACACAUGGAGCUGACUGUUACUAAUCGGGUGAGGGCUUGAUC